CUUCCGGGCGCGGGACGUAAGACGUCCAGGAAGGUACUGAUGGCUCUCGGCUGGGUGAGGGUAGAGAAGGUUUCCAAGGCGCCCUCGGGCCUCGCGGGCUCAGGGCCCACGCAGUUCUCUCUGGUGGCACCGGGGGGCGAUGUGGAGCGUCCCACAGCGCACCUGCGCCCCGGAGGCUCAUGGGCGUUGUAGUUCCCAGGGCGGCGAGCUGUGCUGGCACUUAGCGUGGGAGGGCGAGGCCAGGUCUGGAGGCACGGUCCCGUCCUCCUUGAGGCAGAAGCGGUUGUCCCGGCGUGGAUGACUCCGGAGCGUCCUGGCCUCGAACCCCGUGGAGUGCGACCCACUGCGCGGGUUUGGCGACAGAUCUGGCGGCCGUGUGUCGCAGCUGGAGGUAGGACCAGGCCCUGCGGCCUGGCUGAGGAACACCGUCCUGGGAAUCUUUCGGAGGAACAGUGCCUAAUGCUUAGGUGAAGAAGUAUUUGUUGAAAGAAGAAUUUGUUGAAUAAUUUCAGUUGAGCGUUCAGUUAAGCACUGUGUUGGGCUUAAGUUUCUCGAUGUCUUCGAUGGAAGGCAAAUUCUGUAUUCACGUUCAUUUAAAAAAUAAAGGAUUAUGAAGCUGGUAGAGUGUAAGCUUGGAAUUCUGGUGGCCAUCUUGCUAUCUAUGAGGGGAAAACCUGCCUGAGGAGGAAGACAGUCCAGAGGAAAGCAG